rnacentral:rRNA from 1 species
UACGUAGGGGGCAAGCGUUGUCCGGAAUCAUUGGGCGUAAAGAGCGUGUAGGCGGUUCGGUAAGUCGGCUGUGAAAGUCCAGGGCUCAACCCCUGGGAUGCCGGUCGAUACUGCCCGGACUAGAGUUCGGAAGAGGCGAGUGGAAUUCCCGGUGUAGCGGUGAAAUGCGCAGAUAUCGGGAGGAACACCUAUGGCGAAGGCAGCUCGCUGGGACGUUACUGACGCUGAGACGCGAAAGCGUGGGGAGCAAACAGG